ACUCGUGUCAUGAGCAGUAACGACUCGACCCAUCAGUAAUAAUAAUUUAUUUUAUUAUGUCAAAUUAUCAGAAUUAUUUUUUCAUCGGAUGUAAAAUUAUUAGGGCAUUACAAAUACCAUGUGAUAGGUGGCCGGACUAUUGGGGCAUUACAAACACCAUGCGAUGUGAGUUGAUGUAGCAUCUUGUCCUGCAUAGUAUUUUACUUUCAUAAUAAUCACGACUUGUUUUCAAUUUUAUCCUUUAGUUAUGCGCAAAUUUUUGAAAAUUUUAAUACUUCUU
rnacentral:lncRNA from 1 species